AUGAUUAAUUGGCUAAGCAUUGUUGUUAGCGACAUGAAGAGAGAGGAUGCUUGUGAUUUUUGGAAAACCAUGUGUCUCUGUUGGAGGCAUUAUGUUGAUCCAAAAUGGGCAGAAAAAUCAAUGAGUGGGCAUUCGGAUCCCAAGGAUCUUAAAAAAAUAUUCUAUGAAUCAGUACUGUAUAAUGUUUCACAAUCACAUAUGGUAUUCAUUCCAGUCUUUCAUGAUCACCAAUGGACUUUAUACGCUUUCAACAUGUGUGAUCAGAAGCUCAGUAUUCUGGACUCUCGACCAGAUACCACCAAAGGUGUUGAUCCCACCGAGCGUCACCAGGAAACAAGAUGCAACAUCUGUGAUGCACUUACCGUAACCAUGAACUAUGCAAUUAAUUUUCGUAGCUGGGAGUACCAGUUUCCCAAAGUACCUAGACAACAGGACAGUUAUAGUUUGGAUAGUGGAUUUUUUGUAUUCAAUUUCAUGCGCUUGUGGGAUGGACAUCAACUUGUUCGAUGGUUUCCGAUUGAAUCAACGGAGCUGCGGAAGGAUUUUCUGGCAUACAUAGUCUUGUGCAAGGAACAUCUGCCCGGAAACAAGGAACAUCUGCCCGGAAACAAGGAACAUCUACCCGGUAACAAUGAGCAUCUUCCCGAUAACAAUGAACAUCUGCCUGAUAACAGUGAACAUCUGCCUGUUAAAGUUCUGAUUAAUAAACUUCCUGGGAUGAUGAUGGAUUGCACAAUACAGGAUGUUGCGAGUGGUAUUGCGGCAGUUCGAAAGGGCCCAGAUGUAGAAACGCCUGAUCAAGAAUUCUCUGAUUUCCUCAAUAACUGUCAUCGAGUCACCUCCGACGGUGACGGGGUGUUUCACAUCGCUGCAAGGUUUCACAACGUUGGAACAGUGAGGGAAAUGAAUACGAGGGCCAGAGAAGUCGCAGGAGCGCUCUUAGCAGCAGCGAACGACAGAGGAGAUACAACACUGCAUUGUGCGGCUGCUGGAGGGAGCGAUGUUAUGGUCAAUUAUAUUUUGGACGAUAUGAUGCCACAUAUGAAUCAAGUUACUAUGACCAAGUUUCUGAGUGCCCAAAAUCUCAAAGGAGAGACGUGCUUGCACGAGGCAGUGCGCCACGGACAUGUGGAGAUUGUGAAGAAACUUAUUAAGAAGGACUUGGAACUUGCCGAAGUUGGCAGGCUCAUGCUGGUGCAGAUAGUGGACAAUGAGGAUAUAUCUCCACUCUACUUGGCUACCACUUUACGAAGGGUUGCUAUUGUUCGGGAGCUCACAGAAAGGCCAGACGAGCAAGAUGAUAUGUAUAUGGCGUCCUGGAAAGGACCUGCAGGGAAAACAGCGUUGCAUGCUGCUGUGGUUCUCCUAGACAAAGGGCUGGUUAAGACUCUGCUGAACUGGAAUGGAGGUCUUACUAAGCAGGUAGAUGAUGAAUCUGGGAGCACUCCUCUGCACUUUUUGGCAUCGCUCUCCUUCCAACGCAGGGAACGCAAUAGUAUCGUGCAAUACCGCUACAAGAGGCUGCAUUUCUUGACUUAUCUAAGGGAGUAUCUACGUUGCAAACCAGCCCAAGACUCUAGUAUCGUGAAACUUGUUAUGGGUGAACGUCAAGAUUCUGCCUUGCAUGCAGACUUUUCAGGAUCAGUGCCCAUACACAUAGCUGCUGCGCAUGGGAGACUUGAUAUUGUUACUAAGUUGCUUGAGGAGUGUCCCUAUUGUGAGUCAUCACGCAAUGCUUCUGGCCAGACGUUUCUUCAUGUCGCAGUCGAGAAAGAAAAGCUUGACAUUGUAAAAUAUGUUUGUAAAGCAAAGAAAUUCAACAAAAUUCUGAACGCAGAGGAUCAAGAUGGGAAUACAGCCCUUCAUCUGGCUGUAAUUAAGGCAAGUGAGAAUGCCGUAAAUACCACAAGUGAGAAAAUCUUCUGUACUUUAAUGUCGACCACGGAUGUUGGCCUCAGUUUUGCAAACAAGGAGGGGUACACGCCUCUUGAUCUAGCAUUCUUGAGCCUUCACCCGGAAGUGAUCUGCAUGAAGGGGCCUCGGGAAUGGAUAUAUUUCGACUUGUUAAACAGCAGUGGUGAAUUCGGUGUCGGUGGUUGGGACCGCCUGGCCGGAGAUCUCGUUGAACCAGACUGGGAGAAGGAAUCAGAAAGAGUAGGCAAGUCGGCGUCCAUGCUGGCCCUGUCAGUGCUCAUCCUGAACGCAUCAUUCUUGGUACCCUUCAGCGUGCUUAACCGCAUGGACAAAUGGGGAGUUGAUCUGGACCAACUGCAGGGUGCUCGUGCGAUUCUGUUCCAAACCUUCGUGGUUUUCGAUUCCAUUGCAUUUGCUUGCUCUAUCAUGGCCACUUAUUUCUGCGCCUCCGCGGGCUUUGCCAUGCUGGAUGGCCUGGCACGCCUGAAGAACCUGAUGAGCUGA
rnacentral:rRNA from 1 species